CCCGCUGAACUUAAGCAUAUCAAUAAGCGGAGGAAAAGAAACUAACAAGGAUUCCCCUAGUAACUGCGAGUGAAGCGGGAAGAGCUCAAAUUUGAAAUCUGGCAGCUCUCUGAACUGUCCGAGUUGUAAUCUAGAGAAGUGUUACCUGUGCUGGACCGUGUACAAGUCUCCUGGAAUGGAGCGUCACAGAGGGUGAGAAUCCCGUCUUUGACACGGACUGCCUGCAUGUUUAUGGUGCGCUCUCAAAGAGUCGAGUUGUUUGGGAAUGCAGCUCAAAAUGGGUGGUAAAUGCCAUCUAAAGCUAAAUAUUGGCGAGAGACCGAUAGCGCACAAGUACCGUGAGGGAAAGAUGAAAAGAACUUUGGAAAGAGAGUUAAACAGUACGUGAAAUUGCUGAAAGGGAAACGCUUGGAGUCAGUCGCGUCGGCUAGAAAUCAACCUUGCUUUUGCUUGGUGUACUUUCUUGUUGAUGGGUCAGCAUCAAUUUUGACCGUUGGAUAAAGUCGUUGGGAAUGUGGCAUCUUAGGAUGUGUUAUAGCCCAUUGUCGCAUACAGCGGUGGGGAUUGAGGAACUCAGCACGCCCGCAAGCGACGGGUUUUGACCCCGGAUCGUGCUUAGGAUGCUGGCAUAAUGGCUUUAAUCGACCCGUCUUGAAACACGG
rnacentral:rRNA from 1 species